UUUUGGGAUGCAGAGCUGGGAGAGACUGGAAUGUUAAUGGUCCACGGCUCCAACACUCUCCAGUUGCAGAAGCAGUGGGAGCUUUGCUGCUCAUGGGCAAAGGAACCACCUGGGGAAGGGGGGGUUAAAUGGGCUUGGCUGGAGGAGGUGGCACCUGUGUUGAGUAAUUUCUGAAAUCCAAUCGAUCUGGGAUGACCCCAAAUGACAGUUUAGUUUUCACCUUGCUCGAGCUGUAUCUCAGCUGUUCUCUGAACAGUUCUCUCCCCCACCUGCCUGUUACUUCCCCACUGCUCCCUCUUUUCCCUGCAACGAGUUCCCAGCUCCUCAUGGUCUCCAUCAAACCAUUGACAGAAGAAAUAGAAACUCUACUCCCAGUACCCUGGAGUGCCCAAAUGAGGAACAAUGUAAUCCUGGAGAAGUCCUAGAGAAUUAGAUAAGGGAUGUCCCAAACCAACAGGAUGUAAACUAAGCCCUGUGUACCCAGAUAAAAGAAGCACAGUGGUGCUGUGCUGCUCAAGAACUGAGGUCAGGAUGACAGAGAAGGCCAGGAAGGCCCAGAAAAGGACUUCCAAUAGGGGUGUGACUAUGUAAAGCAGAGUAAUGAAUAUGUAUUAAGUAAGCAAGGCUAUCAAAUGCACAUGUAAACAGUGUGUGUAAUAAAAAGCCCUGUCUGUCAUUUGGCACGUUGGAUUAGAGGAACUCUCCUCUGAACCUCCAGCAUGCUGAACAAAGAAGAAUGCCCUUUUUAACAUCUCCAAAUUGGGGUUAAGAAGUUUGUUUCUGCUGCUUUUGGGUGUAAUUUUUGGCCCCCCAGACAGGACACCUCUGCCUGAUCUCCCACGGAUCUGAGGGAUCUCUGGAUCUUCAACCAGCACCAGGACUUUGCUGGAGAAGAGCACAGAUCCCCAGCCCAGUCUGGGACACAGAACCUGUGAAAUGGCAGAAGGAUUGUGGUGUGAAUGCAGCGCCCUCAGAGCCCUUGGUGUGAGCCCGGAAAGGAAAAUCAAGGGAGAUGGUUAAAGCCUUGUUGUUCAGUGUGGAGCACAGGAGAACUUUGUUCUCAUCAUCUCCCCAAUAAAGAGGAGGACUCAGAUCUUCUGGUUGGCCCCACGGGCAGGUUGAGUGGGGGAACAGAAAAUCAAGAUGCAGAAACCAAUCUUGCAGGGGAACUGGCAUGUGAAGAGGCAGAUUUAGCAUGUCCAGAAGAAAAGGAGAGAGAAUGUGUCAGAGAGAGAGCAGAGAGCUUCAGAAAUCCCUGAGGAAAUGGUGCCCCCGGGGAGAGGAAGAGGAUGAGAGCAUGGGCAGCCUGCUUCAAACAUCCCCCCCAGGAGACUUGGGAUCAAUCCCUGUGCAUCCUGUAAGAAAGAUGGACACUGGAAAUGGGAUUAUCCACAACUGAAACUUCAGAACCCUCCCAACCCUCUCCUGGCAUCACUGCAGACGACUGAGGGGGCACCAGAGGAUUCUUCCCCAUCAGAACAUCUGGUUCCAGCCAAGCUAAGUACAAUUGGUUGUGGCUGUGGGAACUUGUUCCCCUGUCUUAAAUAAGGGAAAAUGAAACUCAAGUCACAAUUCUGGAACAACUGUCUGGUGUGACAGGGAAUUGGGAAACUGGGCCAUUUUUAAUGCUGUGGAUUUAAAACUGGGAAAACAGUGGUUGGCUCCCCAGUAUUUCCCCAAUUCCCCAAAGCCUCUGCCUGGGAGAGAUCUCUUGGAAAAAUUAAAUGCCACAAUCCAAUUUAAAAA